rnacentral:rRNA from 1 species
GGCCUAAAGCGUCCGUAGCCGGGCCCGUAAGUCCCUGGCGAAAUCCCACGGCUCAACCGUGGGGCUUGCUGGGGAUACUGCGGGUCUUGGGACCGGGAGAGGCGGGGGGUACCCCUGGGGUAGGGGUGAAAUCCUAUAAUCCCAGGGGGACCGCCAGUGGCGAAGGCGCCCCGCUGGAACGGGUCCGACGGUGAGGGACGAAGGCCAGGGGAGCAAACCGGAUUAGAUACCCGGGUAGUCCUGGCUGUAAAGGAUGCGGGCUAGGUGUCGGGUGAGCUUCGAGCUCGCCCGGUGCCGUAGGGAAGCCGUUAAGCCCGCCGCCUGGGGAGUACGGCCGCAAGGCUGAAACUUAAAGGAAUUGGCGGGGGAGCACUACAAGGGGUGGAGCGUGCGGUUUAAUUGGAUUCAACGCCGGGAACCUCACCGGGGGCGACGGCAGGAUGAAGGCCAGGCUAAAGGUCUUGCCGGACACGCCGAGAGGAGGUGCAUGGCCGCCGUCAGCUCGUACCGUGAGGCGUCCACUUAAGUGUGGUAACGAGCGAGACCCGUGCCCCCAGUUGCCAGCCCUUCCCAUUGGGAAGGGGGCACUCUGGGGGGACUGCCGGCGAUAAGCCGGAGGAAGGAGCGGGCGACGGUAGGUCAGUAUGCCCCGAAACCCCCGGGCUACACGCGCGCUACAAUGGGUGGGACAAUGGGAUCCGACCCCGAAAGGGGAAGGGAAUCCCCUAAACCCACCCCCAGUUCGGAUCGCGGGCUGCAACUCGCCCGCGUGAAGCUGGAAUCCCUAG